CAAUAGCGUAUAUUUAAGUUGUUGCAGUUAAAAAGCUCGUAGUUGGAUUUCGGAUGGGACUUGCCGGUCCGUCGUUUCGAUGUGCACUGGCCAGUCCUAUCUUGUUGUCGGGGACUAGCUCCUGGGCUUCACUGUCCGGGACUAGGAGCUGACGAGGUUACUUUGAGUAAAUUAGAGUGUUCAAAGCAAGCCUACGCCCUGAAUACAUUAGCAUGGAAUAACACGAUAGGACUCUGGCUUAUCUUGUUGGUCUGUGAGACCAGAGUAAUGAUUAAGAGGGACAGUCGGGGGCAUUCGUAUUUCAUUGUCAGAGGUGAAAUUCUUGGAUUUAUGAAAGACGAACUUCUGCGAAAGCAUUUGUCAAGGAUGUUUUCAUUA
rnacentral:rRNA from 1 species